AGGGAAUCUUCGGCAAUGGACGGAAGUCUGACCGAGCAACGCCGCGUGAGUGAAGAAGGUUUUCGGAUCGUAAAGCUCUGUUGUAAGAGAAGAACGAGUGUGAGAGUGGAAAGUUCACACUGUGCCGGUAUCUUACCAGAAAGGGACGGCUAACUACGUGCCAGCAGCCGCGGUAAUACGUAGGUCCCGAGCGUUGUCCGGAUUUAUUGGGCGUAAAGCGAGCGCAGGCGGUUAGAUAAGUCUGAAGUUAAAGGCUGUGGCUUAACCAUAGUACGCUUUGGAAACUGUUUAACUUGAGUGCAAGAGGGGAGAGUGGAAUUCCAUGUGUAGCGGUGAAAUGCGUAGAUAUAUGGAGGAACACCGGUGGCGAAAGCGGCUCUCUGGCUUGUAACUGACGCUGAGGCUCGAAAGCGUGGGGAGCAAACAGGAUUAGAUACCCUGGUAGUCCACGCCGUAAACGAUGAGUGCUAGGUGUUAGACCCUUUCCGGGGUUUAGUGCCGCAACUAACGCAUUAAGCACUCCGCCUGGGGAGUACGACCGCAAGGUUG
rnacentral:rRNA from 1 species